rnacentral:rRNA from 1 species
UUUGAUCMUGGCUCAGAACGAACGCUGGCGGCGCGCCUAAUACAUGCAAGUCGAGCGAGAAGACGUAGCAAUACGUUUGUAAAGCGGCGAACGGGUGAGGAAUACAUGGGUAACCUACCCUCGAGUGGGGAAUAACUAGCCGAAAGGUUAGCUAAUACCGCGUACGCUCCUUGGACUUCGGUUCAGGGAGGAAAGCGAUACCGUGGGUAUCGCGCUCUUGGAUGGGCUCAUGUCCUAUCAGCUUGUUGGUGAGGUAACGGCUCACCAAGGCUUCGACGGGUAGCUGGUCUGAGAGGACGAUCAGCCACACUGGCACUGCGACACGGGCCAGACUCCUACGGGAGGCAGCAGUAAGGAAUAUUGCGCAAUGGGCGAAAGCCUGACGCAGCGACGCCGCGUGGGGGAUGGAGGUCUUCGGAUUGUAAACCCCUUUCGGCAGGGAAGAUGGAACGGGUAACCGUUCGGACGGUACCUGCAGAAGCAGCCACGGCUAACUUCGUGCCAGCAGCCGCGGUAAUACGAAGGUGGCAAGCGUUGUUCGGAUUCACUGGGCGUACAGGGAGCGUAGGCGGUUGGGUAAGCCCUCCGUGAAAUCUCCGGGCCUAACCCGGAAAGUGCAGAGGGGACUGCUCGGCUAGAGGAUGGGAGAGGAGCGCGGAAUUCCCGGUGUAGCGGUGAAAUGCGUAGAGAUCGGGAGGAAGGCCGGUGGCGAAGGCGGCGCUCUGGAACAUUUCUGACGCUGAGGCUCGAAAGCGUGGGGAGCAAACAGGAUUAGAUACCCUGGUAGUCCACGCCUUAAGCUAUGGAUACUAAGUGUCGGCGGUUUACCGCCGGUGCCGCAGCUAACGCAGUAAGUA